rnacentral:misc_RNA from 1 species
UGGCUCUGGCAUCGAUGAAGAACGCAGCGAAAUGCGAUAAGUAAUGUGAAUUGCAGAAUUCAGUGAAUCAUCGAAUCUUUGAACGCACAUUGCGCCCGCUAGUAUUCUGGCGGGCAUGCCUGUCCGAGCGUCAUUUCAACCCUCGAGAACCCCUUCGCAGGGGGAUCGGUGUUGGGGAUCGACCGCCCUCAGCGGCGGACGUCCCCUAAAACUAGUGGCGGUCUCGCUGUAGCCUCCUCUGCGCAGUAGCUCUGUAUUCUCGCAGCCUGGAGAGCGGCGCGGCCACGCCGUAAAACCCCAACUUUUUCAAGGUUGACCUCGGAUCAGGUAGGAAUACCCGCUGA